GUGAGGAAUAUUGCGCAAUGGAGGCAACUCUGACGCAGCCAUGCCGCGUGCAGGAAGAAGGCGCUACGCGUUGUAAACUGCUUUUAACCGGGAAGAAACCCCAGGACGUGUCCUGGGUUGACGGUACCGGAGGAAUAAGCACCGGCUAACUUCGUGCCAGCAGCCGCGGUAAUACGAAGGGUGCAAGCGUUAUCCGGAUUCAUUGGGUUUAAAGGGUGCGUAGGCGGAGCGUUAAGUCAGUGGUGAAAUCCUGCAGCUUAACUGUAGACUUGCCAUUGAUACUGGCGCUCUUGAGUGCGCUUGAAGUGGGCGGAAUGUGCCGUGUAGCGGUGAAAUGCUUAGAUAUGGCACAGAACACCAAUUGCGAAGGCAGCUCACUAAGGCGAUACUGACGCUGAGGCACGAAAGCGUGGGGAUCGAACAGGAUUAGAUACCCGUGUAGUC
rnacentral:rRNA from 1 species